rnacentral:rRNA from 1 species
AUGGCAAGCAACAAGAGGAGGAAGGUUGUGGCCGCGUCGCUGAUGCCGCCGUUAGCCGAGUCGCUGCUGCUGCCGCCGGAUGAGCUGAUGACGGAGGUGUUCCUACGGCUACCCGUCAAAUCCAUCCUCCUCUUCCGGGCCGUCUGCCGCUCCUGGGCCGCGCUGCUCUCCUCCGACGAGUUCUGCAGCCUCCACAGGGCCAAGGUCGAGGCCGAGCCAGCACCGCCACCCAAGCUGCUAUUCAUCUCGCCGGCCGCAAGCUUCGACUCCACGGGGAUUUACUCGUGCUCGCCAUCAGGUGAUGGGCUACUGUUCAGUCUCCGCGACGUGCGUGGUGACCAUGUGGACAUGACGCCUGCGCCGUGCCGCGGCCUCACCCUCUUGCACGACGCCGUGGAGCCAGCCUACUAUGUUUUCAAUGCGACCACACGGGCCGUCACCCGGCUGCCGCCUUGCCAAGAUUCCUUCAUGGCCACUGCUGGUCUCGGAUUCGAUUCCAGGAGGAGAGAGUACAAGGUAGUGAGGUUGUUUUUCGAAAAACACUUCGGGGUUGAUAAUAUCAAGUGCGAGGUGUACGUCCUUGGUGGCGAGCACGGGGAUCGCUGGAUGCCGGCUGCCGGUGGUGUGCCCUUUAGGUUCCGCAAGUUUGCCGCUGCUGCGAUAAUCGCAACACAGAGUGAAGCUAAGCUGAUGCCAGUGUUCGCAGACGGAUUUCUGCAUUGGGUUAUCGACUCGUCUCUUUUCCUCACAAAGCCAAGAGCUGCCGUCUUAUCGUUCUCCGUUGCAGAUGAGACCUUUAGAUGGUUCAGGUCACCGCCGUUUGAGGAGGCAUCAGGAGGGCAGUUGGUGGAGAUUGCUGAGCACAUGUGUAUGAUCCGGCCACCAAUCUUCGAGGUUCCAGGAGUGCACCUGGUGGAGCUUGAUGACCACUUGUGUAUGGUCCGGGACCUCCGUCCUGAUACUAGUAUUAUGGAUAUUUGGGAAAUGCAGGACUGUAACUCUGGUGAUUGGACGUUGGCACAUGGCAUUGAUUUGUUACAACAUGUUCAAAGAGGUUUGAUGGAGCCGCAAAUUAUUAGAGUCAUUGGUUCUGUUGGCAAUUGUGGAUCAAGGAACAAGGUAAUCUUGGCUACAUCCAAACGCAAGGUGAUUACCUAUGACCCAGUAUCUGGAACUCUGGAAACCGUUCUUGCAAUCAGAGAAACUCAUUCAUCCUACGAAACUGAGCAAUCUGCUCCUAGAGUCAGUUUAUUUAAAGAGAAUCUUGCUCCGGUGCACAGAACAAAUGAAGAGAUAGCCUUGUGUUCUCCCCUGGCCAAGGCAACUAAGGAGAUCCUACUCCGACUCCCGGGUAAUUUUGCCGUGCAGUUCAAGCUGGUCAGCAAGCAGUGGCUUACAUUGGUCGAGAGUCGAAGCUUCAUGCGCUCUUACUAUGAGCAUAACAACAUAGACAGGAGGCCCAAGAUCAUGCUUGUGGGCAAGGGUGCUAGAGGUCUGGGUUUCAGUUUUGCUCCCAUGGGUAAAUUGCUUCGAGAGGCUCCUAGUCAAGGAACAUGGCUUGACACAAAGGUGGUUUGCUCCAAGCCUUGUCAUGGCAUGAACCUGUUAAGUACUGAGAGUGAGGACUAUCUUUACAACCCUUGCACAGGUUACUGCAGUAGCUACCGCACUCGAGGGAGGCUCGCCUAUGUGCCCAACCAUAUACUCUAG